rnacentral:rRNA from 1 species
AUACGGAGGGUGCAAGCGUUAAUCGGAAUUACUGGGCGUAAAGCGCGCGUAGGUGGUUUGAUAAGUCGGAUGUGAAAGCCCCGGGCUCAACCUGGGAAUUGCAUUCGAAACUGUCAGACUAGAGUUUAGUAGAGGGUAGUGGAAUUCCCGGUGUAGCGGUGAAAUGCGUAGAUAUUGGGAAGAACACCAGUGGCGAAGGCGGCCAUCUGGCUCGGUACUGACGCUGAGGCGCGAAAGCGUGGGGAGCAAACAGGAUUAGAAACCCGGGUAGUCC